rnacentral:rRNA from 1 species
UGGUAAUGCCGGAUGCUCCAGUUGAUCGCAUGGUCUUUCUGGGAAAGCUUUCGCGGUAUGGGAUGGGGUCGCGUCCUAUCAGCUUGACGGCGGGGUAACGGCCCACCGUGGCUUCGACGGGUAGCCGGCCUGAGAGGGCGACCGGCCACAUUGGGACUGAGAUACGGCCCAGACUCCUACGGGAGGCAGCAGUGGGGAAUAUUGCACAAUGGGCGCAAGCCUGAUGCAGCGACGCCGCGUGAGGGAUGGAGGCCUUCGGGUUGUAAACCUCUUUUAUCGGGGAGCAAGCGAGAGUGAGUUUACCCGUUGAAUAAGCACCGGCUAACUACGUGCCAGCAGCCGCGGUAAUACGUAGGGUGCAAGCGUUAUCCGGAAUUAUUGGGCGUAAAGGGCUCGUAGGCGGUUCGUCGCGUCCGGUGUGAAAGUCCAUCGCUUAACGGUGGAUCCGCGCCGGGUACGGGCGGGCUUGAGUGCGGUAGGGGAGACUGGAAUUCCCGGUGUAACGGUGGAAUGUGUAGAUAUCGGAAAAGAACACCAC